CCCUUAGAUGUUCUGGGCCGCACGCGUGCUACACUGAGUGGAUCAGCGGGUCAGGUUGCGCGAAAGUGUUUCCUAAUCUUGAAAUCCGCUCGUGAUGGGGAUUGACGGUUGCAAUUUUCCGUCAUGAACGAGGAAUACCUUGUAAGCGCGGGUCAUCAUCCCGCGCUGAAUACGUCCCUGCCCUUUGUACACACCGCCCGUCGCUCCUACCGAUUGAGUGGUCCGGUGAGGCUUUGGGAUCUGAGCAAAGAGAGCGUUUCGCUCGUUUUGCCCGGAAAACUCAGUCGAACCUUAUCAUUUAGAGAAAGGAGAAGUCGUAACA
rnacentral:rRNA from 1 species